rnacentral:rRNA from 1 species
UGGGGGAUAUUGCACAAUGGGCGAAAGCCUGAUGCAGCGACGCCGCGUGGGGGAUGAAGGCCUUCGGGUUGUAAACUUCUUUUGCUCUGAACAAGGCAUGCUAAUGGGUGUGUUGAGUGUAGGGGUUGAUGAGCGCCGGCUAACUACGUGCCAGCAGCCGCGGUAAUACGUAGGGCGCGAGCGUUGUCCGGAAUUAUUGGGCGUAAAGGGCUUGUAGGUGGCUGGUUGCGUCUGUCGUGAAAGAUCAUGGCUUAACUGUGGGUUUGCGGUGGGUACGGGCUGGCUUGAGUGCAGUAGAGGAGGCUGGAAUUCCUGGUGUAGCGGUGGAAUGCGCAGAUAUCAGGAGGAAUACCGGUGGCGAAGGCGGGUCUCUGGGCUGUUACUGACACUGAGGAGCGAAAGCAUGGGGAGCGAACAGG